UACGUAGGCAGCGAGCGUUGUUCGGAGUUACUGGCGUAAAGGGUGUGUAGGCGGUUGUUUAAGUUUGGUGUGAAAUCUCCCGGCUCAACUGGGAGGGUGCGCCGAAUACUGAAUGACUUGGAGUGCGGGAGAGGAAAGUGGAAUUCCUGGUGUAGCGGUGAAAUGCGUAGAUAUCAGGAGGAACACCGGUGGUGUAGACGGCUUUCUGGACCGUAACUGACGCUGAGACACGAAAGCGUGGGUAGCAAACAGG
rnacentral:rRNA from 1 species